UUCAGAUUUCAAUCGCUAGAAUCAUUCAAACCCUAAACCACAUUUCAAUCGCUAGAAUCAUUCAAUCGCUAGAAUCAUUCAAACCCUAAACCACAUUUCAAUCGCUAGAAUCAUUCAAACCCUAAACUACAUUUCAAUCGCUGGAAUCGCUUAAAUCUCAAAAUCGCUUUGAAUCGCUUCAGCAUAAAAGUUCAAUCGUUUGAAUCAUUCAAACCCUAAACCUCAUUUCAAUCGCUGGAAUAGCUCAAAUAUCAAAAUUGGUUUGAAUCGCUUCAGCAUAAAAGUUCAAUCGUUUGAAUCAUUCAAACCCUAAAUCUCAUUUCAAUAUCAAUUGUUUCAAUAGCACAAACCUAAAACCUCGUUCAACAUCAAUAGUUUGGAAAAUAUCUGUUUCUAAUUUCAGGUAUAUCAAUGUGAUUUUUUAAAAAAUUUCCAUUUUCUAAUUUUUUUUAUUUAUUGGAAUAUUUAUUUUUGUUUGUAGAUCUGAAUUCACUGCAUGAUACAUCUCAUCAUAUGUACAUAUCAAAUUUGAAUUUGUUAAUAGGUGCAUUAGGUAAGAAUGAUGUUUCUUAAGAAUCCUAAUUUUCACAUAACAAAUUGUACGAAUUUUCCUGCAUAUAAGGCCAAAUUUUGGGUGAGCAAAACCAUUUUACUUUGUUUAAGAUAUGUUUCUCUAAAUGACAGAGGUUAAUUUAUUGAGUACUGAUGGAGAUGGUUUUGUUAUUUGUGUAUGCAUUUUCAGGUUGCGUUAAUACAACUUCUCGAAAAGUUAUUUUAUCAUGGGGAUUUAUGUGAGGAGUUCACAUCAGCAAGAUUGGAUGUGGAUUUGUAUGCAUGAUAUCUAUUAUGUAGUUUACUUUGUUUAAUUAAUAUAUGUUUUGCAUUCUCAAUGCCUAUGCGUGGUGUAAAUUAGCUUUGUUAUUUAUUUGCACAGUCACUUGCCAACACUAGUAAAUGGUAAUGCCUGCAUGCUAGCUUUGGCUUAUCAAUAGAUGCAAGAAUCACAUUAUCCUUCACUUCAAAAUGCAGCAAUUGUUCUUCUCCAUAUUGCAGACAAGUAUUUCAUUUCAUUGUAAAUUCGUAAUGAUUAAUUUCUUUGUAUGAGAUUUGUCACAUACCUUGACAAUACAUUUCUUGGUUAUGCCAGUGUCUUAAUCAAUGGUUCCAGCUUGAUGCUAAAUUUAACAUGUGGGUUCUCACUUCUCAGGGCUGCUAAUAGAGAUAAACGUAAGACGCCACUACCUAAAAUCAGAGGCGACCCCUAAUGAUCUUCUAAUGGAUUUUAUGGAUAAGCUCCUUUUUUAGCCAGAGUAUGUUGGUAACCCGAAAGAAAAUAUUCCCCCUAAAUCGUCCCUCUGUAUUCCUUGGUCAUGGUUUCCUGGUGCUCUAUGCCUUCUUCAAGAGAUUGGAGAAUCAAAGUUGGUGAGUGGCAGUGCUGGAAUUAUUUGUGAUCUGGUUGAGAAAGGAGGUUCUUUAUUGGUUAUUCGACCUCCCGGUGUUUGGUAAAACUACCUUAAUCAAGUCAACAUAUUAAUUUUUUUUGUUCAUGUCUCUAUUCGUAAAUGGAACUCAUAGAGUUGGCUUUAAACUUGUUCGAAAUGAGUUCGCGAGAAUCAAUGGCAAAAGCAGUCGAAGAAAAGAUAAAUGGUUAGCAACACUGUUUUUAUGAUUUGAGUAAAGUGUUGGAUAUUGGUCAAUCUAACGGUUAAACUGUCUAGCAAUUAUUAAAUUAGUCUAACAACUAACAUUUGACCAGGGAAUUUAUAUGGCCCUAUAGAAAGAGUAAAAGGUUGAAAUGGAUUCAGGGUUCCAUUACAAUUGUGAUUGCCCCUGGUACUAAACUAAUAGCAUUGUGUUACCUUCCAGUGGAUAGAAGAUCAUCCUUGCAGAAGUUCAAUAGUUUUAGAACAUGAUGAUACCAAGUUUCGGUGAUGAUGAUUGAUGAUUAUUUGAUGUUGAACCGCGAAGAACCUUUGGAGAGUUUUCUUGGAGAAUGAAUCGAAAGUGAAGCGCAUAGAGAUGCCUUUUUUUUGCAGAAAUUAUGAAGUAUGGCAUAUUGAAGAUCGAUGCGUGAAGUUGAAGAUUGAAGGUGGAAUUCAGUGGUGUUUAUGGAGAAUGAAGGAAGUGGUUGAUUCUUCUGCAAAUUUUUUGUGGUAUGAAGAAUGAAGAGUUAAUUCUUGUUUAAUUAAUAGUAAGUAACAUUUGAUUUAUUAAAUAUGCUUGCAAAAUAAGCUCAUUUUAAUUAUUACAUGAUUUUAAAUUUAAUGAUUUUUAUUUCUACACUAUUUAGAUAUAA